rnacentral:rRNA from 1 species
CGGGGUGGCGCCCGAUCACGCAUUCGGUACGUCGAGGGAAUACUGGAUAUAUACGCUGAAGAUGUGCGUGAGCUCCUAGAGAUGUGCUUCACUGAAGAGUAUUUGACUAGCUUAGAUUCGUUUUUCGAGGAGCACUUCGAUGCGCCCUGCAUACUCGCUGUGCAGCGAAGCACGGUAGUAGGUGCCAUCGUCUACCCUCUGGAACGCGACUCGGAAGGCAAUCUAUACGCCUAUAUCGCGUACGUCGCGGUUGACGAGAAUUUCCGUCGCAACCGGAUUGGUUUCACCCUGGUGUCGGAAGCCAUCCAAGCGUUGACCGCUAUGGGAGCAACCAAAGCUGUUCUUCACACGCAGGUGCACAACGUCGCAUCGCAGAGGCUGUACGCCGAGCUAGGCUUCGUGGUGACGCGAAGAAUUCCCAACUACUAUUCCCCUGAGGUUGACGGGCUGGAGAUGACUCGAAUCUUACGUUAGACGUCGAACCGGUUUACUUAUUGGUCCUGAGCGAGCGAACCUGUGCGCCAAAAUUAAACGCCAAUAUCAACAUUGAGCAAACAUUGGGUUACGUGACAUUCUCUCUGUUGAAGAGAGACUGUCCAGUGAGUCAACGCAGUGAGUGAGUCUCUUUUGCUACGCAAACGAACUUUACGUAUCAAGACUUUGCUCAAUCGAACAGUGAGCUCGAUCAAGUCGUCUUACGUGUCGCCCAGCUGGAAGCAGCUCGUCACCUCAUUCAUGACUCCAGCCAGCCGCGUAUUCUGAAUGGAACUGAGCUUACAGAUACUCGGCAGCCAGGCCACGGCCGUCCGCGGCGCGCAUACAGCAGGACUGCUUUCACUAAACGUUGCUCGAGAAUAUAACGAAAGGUAUUAUUGAAAAUGAUUAAACAGUUGCCAGGCAAAAUUUGGCAAAAACAAAACGUGUUCUUCCAUAUGUCAGCCACAAUCUAGUAAAAUGACAAGAGCAAGAUCGAGUCUGCUGUACAAAAUACGCGGUGGUGGAGAUAAGAUGCUUCUGCGUGCGGGAGUAACUAUGACUCUCUUUCCAGCGUUGAUGCGGAGACCUUCACGCGCCAAUAGAAAGUUGGUCAGGUUGUAUACGCUCCCAAUAGUAACAUUCCCGAGGUCACUGUUGUUGGCGCGGAAGGCAAGGCAUACGAUAGAGGCUAUGUGGCAACGAAUACUUAUUGUCGUAUUGUCGUGGCCCAUUCGAGGGCUGUUAAGGCUAACUUAAUGUACGGGGAAAGUGUGCUGCACACGGACCCCGGGCCGGUCGGUUAACGCCCCGGGCUUAAGCAACCCGGUGGUUCCGACUGGGAUGCCUGCCGCAGUGGCUUAAUAGGAACAAUGGAAGCCGGAAGCCACAUGAAGAAGGGGUGGUAGUGUAUAUUUUAGAGUGUUGUAUAUUCUAGAGUGCAACGCAGAAUCGUGAGGUGAUCGCGUUCGAUUGUCGGGUAGGAGUAGUGUGGUACCCCUUGCCGAACCUCGAUGGGGGGGACGGGGGACAGGAGCUGCUGGCCCGUCUAUUCGGGCUGGCCGGCGCUCCUGCCAUAGGACAAUGCGUAAUCUACGUUGGCGGCGGGAGUGUAAAUAUCCCUCUCUCUUGCUAGCCAAAUGCCUCGUCAUCUAAUUAGCGUGACGCGCUUGAUUGGAUUAACGAGAUUCCCACUGUUCCUAUCUACUGUCUAGCGAAACCGCAGCCAAGAGAACGGGCUUGGAUUGAACGGCGGGGAAGAAGGCCCUGUUGAGCUUGAUUCUAGUCUGACUUUGUGAAAAGACAUAGGUGUAGCAUAAGUGGGAGGCUUGUCAUCAAUGAAAUACCUUUUCUCCUAUUGUUUCUUUACUUACUCAAUGAUGUGAGUAUGGUUUUUCCAUGUUUUAAACAAAAGCAUAGUUAUUUGCGUGAUUUAUAUUGAGGACGUAGUCAGGUGAGGAGUUUGAGUGGGGCGGUACAUCUGCCAAAAAAAUAACGCAGGUGUCCUAAGGCCAGCUCAGCGAGAACAGAACUCUCGGAUAGAGCAAAAGGGUAAAUGCUAACUUGAUCUUAGCUUUCAGUACAAGUGUAGACCAUGAAAGCGUGGCCCCUCGAUCCUUUUGUUUUUAGGAAUUUUACGCAAGGUGUCAGAAAAGUAACUACAGGGAUAACUGGCUUGUGGCGGCCAAGCGUUCAUAGCGACGUCGCUUUUUGAUCUUUCGAUGUCGGCUUUUCCUAUCAUUGCGAAGCAGAUUUUGCCAAGUGUUGGAUUGUUCACCCACUAAUAGGGGACGUGAGCAGGGUUAAAACCGUCGUGAGACAGGUUAGUUGUUUGUUAUAGUGAUGGUGAUCCUGCUUAAUACGAGAGGAACCGUAGAUUUAGACGAUUGGUUUUGUGUUUGAAAAAUCAGAGGCACUAAACUACCAUCUGUAUGGAUUAUGACUGAACGCCUCUAAGUCAGAGUCCAAUCCAGAGUCUGUUGUGUAAGUGAAUAACUGAACAUUAUGAGCUAAUUAAAAUGAAGUAGUGAAGGUCUUCAUAUAGGUUUUCAAUCUUGAAUACGUCCCGGAUGCAGGACAAUCUGCAAAUGACGUUGUUAAUCGAAGUGUUGUAAUCAAGAGAGCAGUU